rnacentral:lncRNA from 1 species
CCGCUUCCUUCUCUCUCAUCCAACUCAGCAAAAAUAUAGUAUUUUAAUUCUUACAGCCUGCUGACUGUAGCUUAUUGUACUUGCUCUUAGUUAAGAGCCAACUCUAGCACGUGCUCCUAGGCACUUUAUGAGAAUGAAAUGUGGGUCAUAUAAUAAAUAAAUAGUACACUUUUCUAACCAACUAUUGUACUUGUUAGCUAUAAGAUGGGCUAUAGAUGACAUGACAUGAGCUUACAACCGACAGUCGGCUCUACUAUUGUCCUUGCUCUAAAAGACCAGCUGAUGCCCCAAACAUAAGAAAAACCACGUGUACUCAAAUCGUGUCUCUUUUCAUCCUUUCGAACGACCAACUACCCCAAUUUAAAAAGCUCACACAUUGAUACAAAAUUGACAAAGGAACAAAAAAAAAGAACUGGACAUCAGCAACAAGCGUUUUGAAAAAGGGGAAAGGUGGAGCUAGCGAUGCACUGUGCGCACAUCUUAUAGCCAAUCAACCCCCUACCCCCAGAAUAGUUACAGUAUGAGCUCGAGCUCAAACCUCAAAAGGGUACUUUCCCAGUACAAACUUAAUUACACAGCUACAUCCAUACAGGCCUCCUCGUGACACCCUUGGCAUAAUAACGAAGUAUCUCGUUACAGGUUUAUAUACUACCAUGGUCGGAUACUCCAAACAGAGCCAAAGCUAGUGAAACGGGAGACCUUCCCCCCUCCCGGCUUUCAUCAAGCCAGAAGGUCCAAAACACUUCAAUCAGGAAGGGGGAAAAAUACUCUAGAUAGAGAGAAGGAGAGAGGAGGUAGAAGGAGAUGGGCAGACAAUAAACCGGGCAUCUGCAUGCGUUACCGGAGAGAAAAAAAGGUAUCUCCACGCCGGUACGCGCCUCCUUACCUCUAUCCUCGUUAUUUCAGCUUCCAAGUUCAGUAGUAGACUUAGACUAGUAGUAGUAGUGCUGUAGCAAGUAGCGACGCCAUGCUGGAUCAUUGGAUCGAUCGACCUACGGGUCACGGUAGCUCCAGAGGCUCUCCCCAGCCUCGGAAGGGUCAGGCGAUUCGUCGGAGGAGUCGGGGCUGAGCCUCGGGGGGCUCAUCAUCAUCCCGGCGGCCAUGUUGCGCAGGAACUGCGGCGUCUCGAAGAGCGCCUCCUCGUCGAGAAAGAACUGGUUGAACCCAAUGCCGGCUUGAUCCUGCUGGGCCGUGCCGCUCGCCGACGCAGCGGCGCCACUGCCUCCACCCAGCUGCUGCUGCAGCGCGGAUCCAGCAGCCGCGGGGGCAAUGCCGCCGCCGGCGCGAUCGUGCUNNNNN